ACGAGUUAGGGUCUCUCAAGGCCCGACCUCCCAACCCUUUGUCUACUUGACCACUGUUGCUUCGGCGAGCCCGUCCCUAUGGACCGCCGGAGGGUACCUUUAUCGGCCCUCUAGUCAGCGCUCGUCGAUAGCCAAACUUUUAAAAUCUUUAACUAAAUGUGUCUUAAUCUAAGUACUAUUUGUUAAAUAAAAGCA
rnacentral:misc_RNA from 1 species